UACGUAGGGGGCUAGCGUUGUCCGGAAUCAUUGGGCGUAAAGAGCGUGUAGGCGGCCCGGUAAGUCCGCUGUAAAAGUCAAAGGCUCAACCUUUGAAUGUCAGUGGAUACUGCCGGGCUAGAGUCCGGAAGAGGCGAGUGGAACUCCUGGUGUAGCGGUGGAAUGCGCAGAUAUCAGGAAGAACACCAACGGCGAAGGCAGCUCGCUAGGACGGUACUGACGCUGAGGUGCGAAAGCGUGGGGAGCGAACAGG
rnacentral:rRNA from 1 species